AUUGAACGCUGGCGGCAUGCUUUACACAUGCAAGUCGAACGGUAACAGGCCGCAAGGUGCUGACGAGUGGCGAACGGGUGAGUAAUGCAUCGGAACGUGCCCAGUCGUGGGGGAUAACGCAGCGAAAGCUGUGCUAAUACCGCAUACGAUCUAUGGAUGAAAGCGGGGGACCGUAAGGCCUCGCGCGAUUGGAGCGGCCGAUGUCAGAUUAGGUAGUUGGUGGGGUAAAGGCUCACCAAGCCAACGAUCUGUAGCUGGUCUGAGAGGACGACCAGCCACACUGGGACUGAGACACGGCCCUGACUCCUACGGGAGGCAGCAGUGGGGAAUUUUGGACAAUGGGCGCAAGCCUGAUCCAGCAAUGCCGCGUGCAGGAAGAAGGCCUUCGGGUUGUAAACUGCUUUUGUACGGAACGAAAAGGUUUGGGUUAAUACCCUGGGCCGAUGACGGUACCGUAAGAAUAAGCACCGGCUAACUACGUGCCAGCCGCCGCGGUAA
rnacentral:rRNA from 1 species